rnacentral:lncRNA from 1 species
AUGUGGUUCAUGAGGUUGAGAGAAGUUGAGACUAUAAGCAGGACAUCACAGGACAGCUACAUUACUGAAGUGGUUCCUUUUGUCUGGAAGGAUGUCAGCUCUCUGUGCCUGACCAUCUCUGAGGAUGCUUCACGUCAUCUUGUCUACCUGAUCACUGCACUACCUGCUCUCCACUACAAUGCUGCCGUCUCGCUGCUCUGCCACUUGAAAUGCUUGGCUGGCCUUUUCUUAUAAAGCCAUCAUAAAAACUGGAUGCCAUGAAGAUCUACGUUGUUCCUCUUUUCUCCUCCCUUCAAACAUAAGUGCAGAAGGCACAAAAAGUAUUCCUUUAUGCUGAAGACGACUGCUCCUGUUCCACAAAUAGAAGAAAAAAGUUAUUUGUAGUAAAAAUUUGACUUAGGAAAUUGGUAUAUUUUUGCUUACGGUACAUUUAAAUGUGUAAAUGUGAAUAAAUUAUUACGUAUGGCAAAAUAAAAACCCUGUGAUAUGUUAACAGUCUUUAACAAAAGCCGUUUUUCACUAAGCAUUUUGGGUUGUGAAAAAUCUUCAGGUGUUGGAAGUGACAAAAUGACAGGAUAAAACUUUUAACAGGAAACUUUUUUUUUUCACAUUUUCUUAUUUAUGUUGUUAAAAAUGAAAUGAACCAAGAAGAAAUGUGUCUCAGGAUUAUACUGUCUCAUGUUCAUUUUUUAAGUUUGCUUUGUCUAACUGGCGUGGUCUGACUGAAGGUUGACCUUUUACCGAGUGAGCCUCUAUUAUAAGGGGCCUCUGGCUCACUGGCUUGAGAAGAUUUUGUCUACUGGUAGAGUGAGGACUCAAAUCUCAGAUUUUGAAUUUCAUCGUCCCUAAAGCUCCAUAGUCCUCAAUUGUAUGUAAUUUUGGAUUAAAUAUAUGCUUAGUGAUAAAAAGCAAAGAUAUAAGGAAUCCGGUGGAAUGAUUAUAGUGCAGACUGCACUUUACUCUCCUAAAAGUUCCACUUCAGUCAUCUUUUGAUCUAUUGUAAAAGCCUUUUCCAGUGUUUUUUAAAUUAUUAUGAUGACAUUUUCAGCCAAAAUCUAAAAACCUGUGUCAUUUUCUUGGACAUAGUUUCUGCAGAGCGGCAGUAGUUCAUUAGAAAUUUGCAUCAGCGUUGUGGGUAUGACCGUUAGCGUGGAGUAAGCCAGCACUAAUUUCCCACCAUGCCUUCGUAUACCUUCUCCCCUGCAAGCUUACAGCCCCUAACAACCCCAAGCUAACAUUACUGGUCGAACAAAAAUGGCAACCAAUUUUGGAGCGAUCCAGUCGUACCGUUUUGGGUAACGCUUUCUUUUACAGUACUUACAGCGUACUUAAGUGGUACUUACAUGGUACUUAUUGUGUAACUACCGGGUACUUUCAGGGUACUUUAU